CUGGGCCCAGCGCCGCCGCCGCCGCCGCCUCCGACGAAGCGAACGGUGCAGAGAGGGUGAUGUCCGUGAAGAAGAUGGUUGGUGGAUUUAUCUCAACAUGGGCCCUCCUUUUUGCCUUGUUCUGCUAGAUCGGAAGAUGCCAUUAAAUUAAAUAUAAAUUCGACUAUUUUGUAUUUCAGUCCUCUCCCCGGCUGUAAUUUUUUUCUAUUAUUAUUUUAAUAUUGUGCUGCUCAUUUCUUGUACGGAUUGUUAGAUGUAAACUCACAUUAUUUCACUUUGGAUUCUUUGCCCCGCACAGGCCUCUGUUUAA